GAAAGUGAUAUAAUUGCAAAAUGUAUGUAUCAUUUUCUAAAGAAGGAAAAAUAUAUAAUUAGGUGAUAACUUCUAU
rnacentral:autocatalytically_spliced_intron from 1 species